GUGGGGAAUUUUGGACAAUGGGGGCAACCCUGAUCCAGCCAUGCCGCGUGCGGGAAGAAGGCCUUCGGGUUGUAAACCGCUUUUGUCAGGGAAGAAAUCCUUUGGGUUAAUACCUCGGAGGGAUGACGGUACCUGAAGAAUAAGCACCGGCUAACUACGUGCCAGCAGCCGCGGUAAUACGUAGGGUGCGAGCGUUAAUCGGAAUUACUGGGCGUAAAGCGUGCGCAGGCGGUUUUGGAAGAUCGAUGUGAAAUCCCCGGGCUCAACCUGGGAACGGCAUUGGUGACUGCAAGGCUGGAGUGCGGCAGAGGGGGAUGGAAUUCCGCGUGUAGCAGUGAAAUGCGUAGAUAUGCGGAGGAACACCGAUGGCGAAGGCAAUCCCCUGGGCCUGCACUGACGCUCAUGCACGAAAGCGUGGGGAGCAAACAGGAUUAGAAACCCUGGUAGUCC
rnacentral:rRNA from 1 species